GACAGAGGGUGCAACGUUGCUCGGAAUCACUGGGCGUAAAGGGCGUGUAGGCGGGAAGGAAAGUCAGAUGUGAAAUCCCCAGGCUCAACCUGGGAACUGCAUUUGAAACUCCCUUUCUUGAGUACCGGAGAGGAAAGUGGAAUUCCUGGGUGUAGAGGUGAAAUUCGUAGAUAUCAGGAGGAACACCAGUGGCGAAGGCGGCUCACUGGCCCGGUACUGACGCUGAGGUGCGAAGCGUGGGAGC
rnacentral:rRNA from 1 species